ACCUCGGUAGCUUAGUUGGAAAAAGCAGCAGGGCGUAAACCUGAAUACCUGGGUUCGUGUUCCAGUCGAGGUC